rnacentral:SRP_RNA from 1 species
GUCAGGUGUGGUGGUGCAUGCCUGUAGUCCCAGCUACUUAGGAGGCUGAGGUAGGAGGAUUGCUCGAGCCUGGGAGGUUUAGGCUGCAGUAAGCUGUGAUCUGCCACUGCACUCCAGCCUGGGCAACAGAACAAGACCCUGUUUCAG